AGUAGAAUUGCUGGGUUAUAUGAUAACUCUAUUUGUAACUUUUUGAGGAACUACCAAACUGUUUUCCAAAAUGAUUGCACCAUAUACUUUCCUAUCAGCAAU
rnacentral:pre_miRNA from 1 species